rnacentral:tRNA from 1 species
GGGCAGGUGAUGGAAUUGGCAUACAUGUUGCGCUUAGAACGCAAAUUUUAAGGGUUCGAGUCCCUUCUUGCCCACCA